CGUAGGAGGCGAGCGUUAUCCGGAUUCACUGGGCGUAAAGCGCGUGCAGGUGGCGCGGUAAGUUGGGCGUGAAAUCUCCCGGCUCAACUGGGAGAGGUCGUCCAAUACUACCGGGCUUGAGAGCAGAAGAGGAAGAUGGAAUUCCCGGUGUAGUGGUGAAAUGCGUAGAUAUCGGGAGGAACACCAGUGGCGAAGGCGAUCUUCUGGUCUGUUUCUGACACUCAGACGCGACAGCUAGGGUAGUAAACGGGAUUAGAGACCCCGGUAAUCCUAGCCGUAAACGAUGUGAACUUGGCGUUGGUGGGUUAAACUCCAUCAGUGCCGUAGCAAACGCGAUAAGUUCACCGCCUGGGGACUACGGCCGCAAGGUUA
rnacentral:rRNA from 1 species